GGGGAUAUAGCUCAGUUGGUACAGUAUGUGCCUUGCAUGCACAAGACCCUGGGUUCAAUUCCCAGCACCA
rfam:Ictidomys tridecemlineatus contig072636, whole genome shotgun sequence.